CUCAUGCUAGCUGUUCUCGCUCUCAAUCCUGGCGCCCCCUUUAUCUCACUGCAAAUAGCCGUUGUCGAUCCUCUUCAUUUGCUAUUGGUGCUAAUGCUGUUCCGCUCGGUGCAGCAGGUCCUCGAGCUGUCCCCAUACACAGGGUUAUUCUUUCUACUGCAGUUCCACAUUACGAACCACUACUACACCAGAUAUUCUUGGCAAAGCACCCAAAUUCGUCAGGGUCCCUUGCUGAUUGCUUCUGGUAGCUGGCAAGAAGUUAAAGCCCGGAAAUGAUGCCACCAACAUUAGUAGCUGCUACGCAUCCCAACAUAAAGAGACUGUUUAAAACCUCUCACCAAUCGCCUCCCCAUUACCAUGCCCGGACCUCGGUGGUUAAACACAUUUACUCCGGCCAUCUUGUCUUUCGUCAGACAGCCAAAUACUCAAAUCCCUCUGUACGGCGAAACAGAGUUUCAGUUGCACGCCAUACCACGGCACCGU
rnacentral:lncRNA from 1 species